rnacentral:tRNA from 1 species
GGAAAGGUGCCCGAGCGGUUGAAGGGGUCAGUCUCGAAAACUGAUAGGGUGGUAACACUCUCGUGGGUUCGAAUCCCACCCUUUCCG